AGCGAACGCUGGCGGCAGGCCUAACACAUGCAAGUCGAACGAACCCUUCGGGGUUAGUGGCGGACGGGUGAGUAACACGUGGGAACGUGCCUUUAGGUUCGGAAUAACUCAGGGAAACUUGUGCUAAUACCGAAUGUGCCCUUCGGGGGAAAGAUUUAUCGCCUUUAGAGCAGCCCGCGUCUGAUUAGCUAGUUGGUGAGGUAAUGGCUCACCAAGGCUACGAUCAGUAGCUGGUCUGAGAGGAUGACCAGCCACAUUGGGACUGAGACACGGCCCAAACUCCUACGGGAGGCAGCAGUGGGGAAUCUUGCGCAAUGGGCGAAAGCCUGACGCAGCCAUGCCGCGUGGAUGAUGAAGGUCUUAGGGUUGUAAAGCUCUUUCACCGAUGAAGAUAAUGACGGUAGUCGGAGAAGAAGCCCCGGCUAACUUCGUGCCAGCCGCCGCAGUAAUAC
rnacentral:rRNA from 1 species